rnacentral:rRNA from 1 species
CUCGAAUUUAAAAGAGUUAAUUAAUUAAAAAAGUUAAUGUUGAAUAAUUAUUUUAAAUAAUUAAUUUGAAAUGAAAUGUUAAUCGUUUUUAAAUAUAUCUAGUUUUUUUAGAAAAAAAUUUAAUUUUAAAUUUAUUAUUUUUAUAUUAUUUUUUUUUAUUCAAUAAAAUAUAAUAAAAUUAAUUUAAUAAUUAAAAAAAAAAAUUAAAAUUUUUAUAUUAAAAUUAAUUAAUAUUAAAUUUUAUAAUUUAAGGGAUAAGCUUUAAAUUAAAUAUAUAUAUAAUUUUAUGGGGAAAAUUUGAAAGUUAUAUAAUUUAUAUUAUUAAUAAAUUUUAAUUUGUUAUAAAUAAUUUUAAUAAAAAUAAGAUUUAAUUAUUAAAAUUUAUUUUUAGUUUAUAAAAAAAUAAAUUUUAAUUAAGUAAAUUUAAUUAUAAUGAUAAAAUUAGUAUAUAAAUAUAAUUUAUAUAUAUAUAUAUAUAUUAUAUAAUUAAUAUAAAAAAGUAAUUAUUUUAUUAAUUAUUUUAAAAGAAUUCGGCAAAAUUUUAUAUUCACUUGUUUAUCAAAAACAUGUCUUUUUGAAAUUUAAUUUAAAGUCUAAUCUGCCCACUGAUGAUUAAUUAAAGGGCUGCAGUAAUUUGACUGUACAAAGGUAGCAUAAUCAUUAGUCAUUUAAUUGAUGACUUGAAUGAAAGAUUGGAUGAAAUAUAAACUGUUUCUAUAAUAAUUUAUAUAAUUUAAUUUUUUAAUUAAAAAGUUAAAAUAAUUUAAAAAGACGAGAAGACCCUAUAGAGUUUUAUUUAUAUAAUUAAUUAUUGUUAUUUUUAAAAUUAAAAUUUAAAUUAGUUAAUAAAUUUUAUUGGGGUGAUAAAAAAAUUAAAUUAACUUUUUUUUUAAAAAAACAUAAAUAAAUGAAUAAAUGAUCCAUUAAUAAUGAUUAUAAGAAAAAAUUACCUUAGGGAUAACAGCGUAAUUUUUUUUUUUAGUUCAAAUAAAAAAAAAAGUUUGCGACCUCGAUGUUGGAUUAAGAUAAAAUUUAAAUGUAGAAGUUUAAAAUUUUGAUCUGUUCGAUCAUUAAAAUCUUACAUGAUCUGAGUUCAAACCGGUGUAAGCCAGGUUGGUUUCUAUCUUUUAAAUAAUAAAAUAUUUUAGUACGAAAGGAUUAAAUAUUUAAAUUAAAUUUAAUAAAAGAAUUUUAUUAAUUGAA